GCAAUACUCCCUCCGUCCCAUAUUAAGUGACUUUCUAUUACAUGUAUCUAGACGCUUUUUAGGUGUAGAUAUAUUCAUAUUUGGACAAAUUUGAGUCACUUAAUAUGGGACGGAGGGAGUACAAU
rnacentral:pre_miRNA from 1 species